GUGAGAGGGAGUGCUUGGCUUGGCUGGAGUGCUGCAUGCAUAAACUCUGUUCUGAACUUCUGCAUGCAUAAACUCUGUUCUGAACUACUACAGAGGAGGAACAGAGGAAGGCAGGCAGGCAAAAGAUAAGAAAACAAACAAAAGACCGGAGUUCCUCUGAUGGUGUUAAAGCUGGAGCUGUCAGGACCAAAGGAUUGGGAUCAAUAGGCGGCUCUGACUCAUCAGAAUCCAUGCUCGCAGCACCAGACUCUGAUUUGGAAUCCUCAGAUAUUUCAACAGAAUCUGAACAGAUGGGAAUGGGCAAUUGAGUCUGUUGGCUUGUCUUUUGUGUACUCUCCUUAAAUGUACUUGUAAAAGAC